rnacentral:rRNA from 1 species
CCUACGGGUGGCAGCAGUGGGGGAUAUUGCACAAUGGGGGGAACCCUGAUGCAGCGACGCCGCGUGGGUGAAGAAGCGCCUCGGCGCGUAAAGCCCUGUCAUCAGGGACGAAAAUGACGGUACCUGAAGAAGAAGCCCCUGCCACCUACGUGCCAGCAGCCGCGGUAAUACUUAGGGGGCAAGCGUUAUCCGGAUUUACUGGGUGUAAAGGGGGCGCAGACGGGGAUGCAAGCCAGGAGUGAAAGCCCGGGGCCCAACCCCGGGACGGCUCUUGGAACUGCGUGGCUAGAGUGCAGGAGGGGCAGGCGGAAUUCCUGGUGUAGCGGUGAAAUGCGUAGAUAUCAGGAGGAACACCGGUGGCGAAGGCGGCCUGCUGGACUGCAACUGACGUUGAGGCCCGAAAGCGUGGGGAGCAAACAGGAUUAGAUACCCUGGUAGUC